rnacentral:lncRNA from 1 species
GUCUCCUUAAACAUACUAUUUUCAAUAUAUACUUUUGUAGAUAUUGAAGACCGGCGAAAGAAUACCAAAUUAAGAAUUAUCAUUCAGAAUUUAAAAUGCUUCAUGAACCACUUCAUUUUGAAAUUGGAGGUCCGCUGUAAAGAAACAAAUUUGAGUUUGAGGAUACUGAAAGUGAAUCUGGAAUCUACUAAGAUCAAUAUUAAUUCAUAGAUGGCGUAAGAUGAAGAUCUAAUUUAAUUCUUCUGCAUGUGGAUAUCCAGUUGUCCUAAAACCAUUUAUUGAAGACACUGUAAAACUUUAUGCUUUUUCACUGAAACAAGAUACUGUUGUGUACUACUACAUAAAGAUAGAAGUAAAUAUGACCACUGUUUCA